rnacentral:rRNA from 1 species
UUCCGGUUGAUCCCGCCGGAGGCCAUUGCUAUUGGGAUCCGAUUUAGCCAUGCUAGUCGUACGAGUUCAGACUCGUGGCGAAUAGCUCAGUAACACGUGGCCAAACUACCCUUCGGACCGCAAUACCCUCGGGAAACUGAGGCUAAUAGCGGACACCACACGCAGACUGGAAUGUCGCGUGUGUCAAACGCUCCGGCGCCGAAGGAUGUGGCUGCGGCCGAUUAGGUAGACGGUGGGGUAACGGCCCACCGUGCCAAUAAUCGGUACGGGUCAUGAGAGUGAGAACCCGGAGACGGAAUCUGAGACAAGAUUCCGGGCCCUACGGGGCGCAGCAGGCGCGAAACCUUUACACUGCACGCCAGUGCGAUAAGGGGAUCCCAAGUGCGUAGGCAUAGAGCCUACGCUUUUGUCCACCCUAGGGUGGUGGACGAAUAAGGGCUGGGCAAGACCGGUGCCAGCCGCCGCGGUAAUACCGGCAGCCCGAGUGAUGGCCGAUCUUAUUGGGCCUAAAGCGUCCGUAGCUGGCCGCACAAGUCCAUCGGGAAAUCCACCUGCUCAACAGGUGGGCGUCCGGUGGAAACUGUGUGGCUUGGGACCGGAAGGCGCGACGGGUACGUCCGGGGUAGGAGUGAAAUCCCGUAAUCCUGGACGGACCGCCGAUGGCGAAAGCACGUCGCGAAAACGGAUCCGACAGUGAGGGACGAAAGCUAGGGUCUCGAACCGGAUUAGAUACCCGGGUAGUCCUAGCCGUAAACACUGCCUGCUAGGUGUGGCACCCACUACGAGUGGGUGCUGUGCCGUAGGGAAGCCGCUAAGCAGGCCGCCUGGGAAGUACGUCCGCAAGGAUGAAACUUAAAGGAAUUGGCGGGGGAGCACUACAACCGGAGGAGCCUGCGGUUUAAUUGGAUUCAACGCCGGAAA